GUUUGACUAUGAGUUCUGAAUUGUAGUUGUAGAAACAGCUUCUAUGAAAAGCAGGGGAUGACCCUGUAAAAUAGUAAACCUUUUUCCGUUCAAGUGCUUAAAAAUCUCAUAAUUCAUUGAUAUCAUUCAGCAAGGAAAAAGCAGUUAGGUCCAUUUUCUUGGCAAAGAUAAUUCAUGAUCAAGUUUCCUGAAUUACUCUUCAUUUUUAUCACGUCGAGACUGUAAGUUAUGUUUCUUAUUCCAUAUUAAACUUCGUUUUCUUGAUCAAGCUUUCAU
rnacentral:misc_RNA from 1 species